CCUACGGGUGGCAGCAGUGAGGAAUAUUGGUCAAUGGCCGAGAGGCUGAACCAGCCAAGUCGCGUGAGGGAAGACGGCCCUACGGGUUGUAAACCUCUUUUGUCGGGGAGCAAAGCGAACCACGUGUGGCUCAUUGAGAGUACCCGAAGAAAACGCAUCCGCUAACUCCGUGCCAGCAGCCGCGGUAAUACGGGGGAUGCGAGCGGUAUCCGGAUUUAUUGGGGUUAAAGGGUGGGCAGGGGGAGGUGCAAGUCAGCGGUCAAAUUGCGGGGCUAAACCCCGUACUGCCGUUGAAACUGCGUCCCUUGAGUGCGCGAGAAGUACGCGGAAUGCGCGGUGUAGCGGUGAAAUGCAUAGAUAGCGCGCAGAACUCCGAUGGCGAAGGCAGCGUACCGGCGCCAGACUGACGCUGAGGCACGAAAGCGUGGGGAGCGAACAGGAUUAGAGACCCCUGUAGUC
rnacentral:rRNA from 1 species